rnacentral:SRP_RNA from 1 species
GCCGGGCGCGGUGGCGCGUGCCUGUAGUUCCAGCUACUCCGGAGGCUGAGGUGGGAUGACUGCUGGAACCCAGGAGUUCUCGGCUGUGGUGCGCUAUGCUGAUCGGGUGUCCCCACCAACCUUUGGCAUCAACAUGGUGACCUCCCGGAAGCCAGGGACCACCAUUCAUGUCUAAGGAGGGGUGAACUGGCACCUGUCGGAGGAGCUGGAUGUCGAAACCCCCGUGCUUGAAGUAGAGGGAUCACACCUGAGAAUACCCAACCUGGGCGACAUAGCGAGACCCCGUCUCUU